rnacentral:rRNA from 1 species
GGGUAACGGCUCACCUAAGGCGACGAUCCCUAGCUGGUCUGAGAGGAUGACCAGCCACACUGGAACUGAGACACGGUCCAGACUCCUACGGGAGGCAGCAUG